rnacentral:piRNA from 1 species
UGCAAAACCCACAAUUUGUCUCCAGA